UGGAGUAUCAAUAACACAUAACAAUCUCAUGUAAUAAGCAACGGCAGGGCGAAGAGGGAGAUUUGGAAAACGAUGCAUUCCCUUGGCAUGUGUUUAUAGUAGGGAGAGCUGAACAAGAAAAAAUUAUGUAACGGAAUUAUAUUAACUCAUAAUCGUCUGCUAACUACAGCUAAUUGUGCACAAUAUUAUAAUUCAAAAGUAAUUGAUGUAUAUGCUGGAUCAGGUGGACGCUUUCCAUCAAAUGGUUAUCAGGCAGUAUCAAUUCAAAAGUAUAUUCAACAUGAAAAUUACAACAUAACGACACGUGAAAACAACAUUGCCAUAAUUUUCCUUAAUAAUACUUUAGUAUGGAAUGAUAAAGUUCUUCCCAUUUGCUUUUCCAGCGAUAACUUUCCAGUAGAGGAGGG
rnacentral:lncRNA from 1 species